GUGCCAGCAGCCGCGGUAAUACGUAAGGGGCAAGCGUUGUCCGGAAUUGUUGGGCGUAAAGCGCGCGCAGGCAGUCUUUUAAGUCUGAUGUGAAAGCCCACGGCUUAACCGUGGAGGGUCAUUGGAAACUGGAGGACUUGAGUGCAGAAGAGAGAGUGGAAUUCCACGUGUAGCGGUGAAAUGCGUAGAGAUGUGGAGGAACACCAGUGGCGAAGGGCGACUCUCUGGUCUGUAACUGACGCUGAGGCGCGAAAGCGUGGGGAGCGAACAGGAUUAGAUACCCUGGUAGUCC
rnacentral:rRNA from 1 species